rnacentral:SRP_RNA from 1 species
ACGUUGACGGUUGGGUCCUCCGCAAUGAGCACUUGUGAACCUGGUCAGGUCCGGAAGGAAGCAGCCAUAAGCAAGACCGCUUUUGUGCCGGAGGAGUGCCUAGCCCGAGUUGCUGCU